rnacentral:sRNA from 1 species
GCAAGGAACAAGUGGCGCGCUCCAGCGACUACCUCGACGGGCAACUGAGCUUUCGUGAACGCCUGAUGGUGCGUCAUCACCUGAUGUUCUGCCCCAAGUGCCGGCGUUUUAUCCGCCAGAUGCGCCUGAUGCAGGCAACCCUCAGGAAACUGCCGCAACCGCCGGUCCCUGACCUGGAUCACCUCGCCGAAAAACUCGCCGCCGAGCGCCGCAAAAACAUCCGCUAAGCG